rnacentral:rRNA from 1 species
UACGGGGGGAGCAAGCGUUGUUCGGAUUUACUGGGCGUAAAGGGCGCGUAGGCGGCCAGCACAAGUCAGUUGUGAAAUCUCCGAGCUUAACUCGGAAAGGUCAACUGAUACUGUGCGGCUAGAGUGCAGAAGGGGCAACUGGAAUUCUUGGUGUAGCGGUGAAAUGCGUAGAUAUCAAGAGGAACACCUGCGGCGAAGGCGGGUUGCUGGGCUGACACUGACGCUGAUGCGCGAAAGCUAGGGGGAGCGAACGGG